rnacentral:lncRNA from 1 species
GGUGACUCUGGCUCUUGCAGGAGGUGGGCUACCACAGGGACAUGAGCUGCCUAACUGCCAUCCUCCUCCUGUAUCUGCCAGAGGAAGACACCUUCUGGGCACUGGAUCGGCUAAUGGCCGAGGAGAGGCACUCCCUGCAGG